UUGGCCCGUGGGGUUGGCUUGGGCUGGGUUUGGUAUCUUGAGCUAACCCCACGUUUGGCUCAAUGGGUAGAGAAGUCCAUGAAUUAAUUUGAAGCUUGGAGUAGAAUACUCUGUAAUCCCUUGGUUUGCAACACAGGUUUGGUCUUCCUCUUUUCCUCGUCUUCUCCUUUCAUUCUUCAUCUGUCUUCUUGCCUUCUUCAUACGGAUUAGGGUUCUAGCUUCUCUCUUCUAUCUCUCACCUUCCUAUUAUGAAUUUCUUCUAAAUUUUAUUACUAAUUUCUCUCAUUCUUCCUCAUGCAAAAUCAUUGUUCAAAAACCCUCAUCGAAAUCUCCAACCACCUCUUCAUUCUAACCAUUCACGCCGCAUGAUUUCAAUUUUCUUCCUCCUCUCCCCCAACUCCAUAACUACGAUUUUGGUGUCGUAUUUAUUCAGAUCUAUGAUUUCAGUUUUCCAUUUCUUUAGAUUUAUGAUUUUGGUUUCGUUUUUCUUCAGAUCUACUGCCUUUGUGUUACGUUCUCAAUCUCUUCAUCUAUUUCCCUCUCUUGCGCUACCAUCAUUUCAUAGCCACCCUGUAGAAACCCUAAUCCCAAAUCCGAUCCCUUGUCGCUCAAAUUACCCCAACAUUUCAUCUCUUGCCGCCUCCAAUUAUCCCAAGAACAGAACAUGAUUCUUCUCAGAUGAAGGCUUGGUAGGAUAAUUGAUGGGGUUGUUAGAGCUUGGCAGGGGAGGGUCUUCAAACAGUUUGAAGUUUCAUUUGGUUCUCAACUUCCUUCCAAGACUAAUUUUGGAGUGGCCAGUCACUCCCUAAAUAAAGACUGGUGGCCACUCCAUUUUUUCUCCUCUCGGGAAGAAAGUCGACACUCCACGUCGCAAACCUGUAGCGACAAACCACAUCCCCUAUAAAUUCACCUCUUUUCACCCCCAACACUCGGACUUUUCUUUGUAAUUUCUAUUUGCCACCCAUUCUGCCUUUGUUUAUGGUAAGUUGUAUUAUGUAUAUUUUGUGUUUCAAAUUUUCCAUUCUUUGUGUUGAAUCUCAUACUUCUUGUUUGAUUCACCGUGUAUGUGCAAUGGUUCGAAACUGAGGUCGAACUUUAAAAUUCCUCCUUCUUAUACAUAGUUUUUUUUUAACACAUGACCUAACUUAUUCAUUGUUACUGUAAUUUUUUUUUCCUUCCUUAACACUUACUUGGUGAUGCUUUGUAAAAUGAAUUUAUCUCCCAUGAGCUGUAAUGUAUCUUUUUGAUUUGCAAUAUUACAUUAUGUGAGUAGUUGAUGUUGGAUCUCAUACUAGUUUUUAUUCAAAUAUAUGAGCAACGAAUCUUGAGGCCAAACUUCAAAAUUUUGCUUCUUCUAUUUUAUCUAUUUUAUUUUUAUUGCAUGACCUAACCUAUUUAUUCUCACUUUAAUUUUUUCCCUUAUUCUUGUUCUUAUUACCUUCUUAAUACAAGCCUUUCUUAUUUAGCAGCAUGCAUUUCACAUGGAUCAUAGCUUCCUAAGUUCGUGAGACCAUUCAUUACGUCAUCUCUGCCCCUCUCGACCUCACAUCUUUGCAUUUACGUAAUAUUCGAUUUUCCAAUCUAUAUUUACGCAUUGGUUCAUCUGUUAGUGUUUUGCUAUGUGCACAUACCAUUAUAGUUAUUAAUUUUAUAUGUUGUUCAAGCUCA